rnacentral:rRNA from 1 species
GAUGAACGCUAGCGGCAGGCUUAACACAUGCAAGUCGAGGGGUAUAGUUCUUCGGAAUUAGAGACCGGCGCACGGGUGCGUAACGCGUAUGCAAUCUACCUUUCACAGAGGGAUAGCCCCAGAGAAAUUUGGAUUAAUACCUCAUAGUAUAGCAGUUUCGCAUGAAACCACUAUUAAAGUCACAACGGUGAAAGAUGAGCAUGCGUCCCAUUAGCUAGUUGGUAAGGUAACGGCUUACCAAGGCAACGAUGGGUAGGGUCCUGAGAGGGAGAUCCCCCACACUGGUACUGAGACACGGACCAGACUCCUACGGGAGGCAGCAGUGAGGAAUAUUGGACAAUGGGCGCAAGCCUGAUCCAGCCAU